GAAGUUCAGGUAACACUGAAUGGAGGCCCGAACCCACGCACGUUGAAAAGUGCGGGGAUGAGGUGUGGGUAGCGGAGAAAUUCCAAUCGAACCUGGAGAUAGCUGGUUCUCCCCGAAAUAGCUUUAGGGCUAGCCUUAAGUGUAAGAGUCUUGGAGGUAGAGCACUGAUUGGACUAGGGGUCCUCAUCGGAUUACCGAAUUCAGUCAAACUCCGAAUGCCAAUGACUUAUCCUUAGGAGUCAGACUGCGAGUGAUAAGAUCCGUAGUCAAAAGGGAAACAGCCCAGACCGCCAGCUAAGGUCCCAAAGUGUGUAUUAAGUGGAAAAGGAUGUGGAGUUGCUUAGACAACUAGGAUGUUGGCUUAGAAGCAGCCACCAUUUAAAGAGUGCGUAAUAGCUCACUAGUCGAGUGACUCUGCGCCGAAAAUGUACCGGGGCUAAAUACACCACCGAAGCUGCGGAUUGAUACCAAUGGUAUCAGUGGUAGGGGAGCGUUCUAAGGACAGUGAAGUCAGACCGGAAGGACUGGUGGAGUGCUUAGAAGUGAGAAUGCCGGUAUGAGUAGCGAAAGACGGGUGAGAAUCCCGUCCACCGAAUGCCUAAGGUUUCCUGAGGAAGGCUCGUCCGCUCAGGGUUAGUCAGGACCUAAGCCGAGGCCGACAGGCGUAGGCGAUGGACAACAGGUUGAUAUUCCUGUACCACCUCUUUAUCGUUUGAGCAAUGGAGGGACGCAGAAGGAUAGAAGAAGCGUGCGAUUGGUUGUGCACGUCCAAGCAGUUAGGCUGAUAAGUAGGCAAAUCCGCUUAUCGUGAAGGCUGAGCUGUGAUGGGGAAGCUCCUUAUGGAGCGAAGUCUUUGAUUCCCCGCUGCCAAGAAAAGCUUCUAGCGAGAUAAAAGGUGCCUGUACCGCAAACCGACACAGGUAGGCGAGGAGAGAAUCCUAAGGUGUGCGAGAGAACUCUGGUUAAGGAACUCGGCAAAAUGACCCCGUAACUUCGGGAGAAGGGGUGCUUUCUUAACGGAAAGCCGCAGUGAAUAGGCCCAAGCGACUGUUUAGCAAAAACACAGCUCUCUGCGAAGCCGUAAGGCGAAGUAUAGGGGGUGACACCUGCCCGGUGCUGGAAGGUUAAGGAGAGGGGUUAGCGUAAGCGAAGCUCUGAACUGAAGCCCCAGUAAACGGCGGCCGUAACUAUAACGGUCCUAAGGUAGCGAAAUUCCUUGUCGGGUAAGUUCCGACCCGCACGAAAGGUGUAACGAUUUGGGCACUGUCUCAACCAGAGACUCGGUGAAAUUAUAGUACCUGUGAAGAUGCAGGUUACCCGCGACAGGACGGAAAGACCCCGUGGAGCUUUACUGUAGCCUGAUAUUGAAUUUUGGUACAGUUUGUACAGGAUAGGCGGGAGCCUUUGAAACCGGAGCGCUAGCUUCGGUGGAGGCGCUGGUGGGAUACCGCCCUGACUGUAUUGAAAUUCUAACCUACGGGUCUUAUCGACCCGGGAGACAGUGUCAGGUGGGCAGUUUGACUGGGGCGGUCGCCUCCUAAAGUGUAACGGAGGCGCCCAAAGGUUCCCUCAGAAUGGUUGGAAAUCAUUCGUAGAGUGCAAAGGCAUAAGGGAGCUUGACUGCGAGACCUACAAGUCGAGCAGGGACGAAAGUCGGGCUUAGUGAUCCGGUGGUUCCGCAUGGAAGGGCCAUCGCUCAACGGAUAAAAGCUACCCCGGGGAUAACAGGCUUAUCUCCCCCAAGAGUCCACAUCGACGGGGAGGUUUGGCACCUCGAUGUCGGCUCAUCGCAUCCUGGGGCUGUAGUCGGUCCCAAGGGUUGGGCUGUUCGCCCAUUAAAGCGGUACGCGAGCUGGGUUCAGAACGUCGUGAGACAGUUCGGUCCCUAUCCGUCGUGGGCGUAGGAAAUUUGAGAGGAGCUGUCCUUAGUACGAGAGGACCGGGAUGGACGCACCGCUGGUGUACCAGUUGUUCUGCCAAGGGCAUAGCUGGGUAGCUAUGUGCGGAAGGGAUAAGUGCUGAAAGCAUCUAAGCAUGAAGCCCCCCUCAAGAUGAGAUUUCCCAUAGCGUAAGCUAGUAAGAUCCCUGAAAGAUGAUCAGGUUGAUAGGUUCGAGGUGGAAGCAUGGUGACAUGUGGAGCUGACGAAUACUAAUAGAUCGAGGACUUAACCAU
rnacentral:rRNA from 1 species